CUAACUACGUGCCAGCAGCCGCGGUAAUACGUAGGUGGCAAGCGUUAUCCGGAUUUAUUGGGCGUAAAGAGAGUGCAGGCGGUUUUCUAAGUCUGAUGUGAAAGCCUUCGGCUUAACCGGAGAAGUGCAUCGGAAACUGGAUAACUUGAGUGCAGAAGAGGGUAGUGGAACUCCAUGUGUAGCGGUGGAAUGCGUAGAUAUAUGGAAGAACACCAGUGGCGAAGGCGGCUACCUGGUCUGCAACUGACGCUGACGACUCGAAAGCAUGGGUACGCGAACAGGAUUAGACUACCCUGGUAG
rnacentral:rRNA from 1 species